GUGAGGAAUAUUGGACAAUGGGCGCAAGCCUGAUCCAGCCAUGCCGCGUGAACGAUGAAGGCCUUCGGGUUGUAAAGUUCUUUAGCCGAUGAUUAUAAUGACUGUAGUCGGAAAAUAAGCCCCGGCUAACUUCGUGCCAGCAGCCGCGGUAAUACGAAGGGGGCGAGCGUUAUUCGGAAUCACUGGGCGUAAAGCGUGCGUAGGCGGUCUCGUAAGUUAGGAGUGAAAGCCCAGGGCUCAACCUUGGAAUUGCUCUUAAUACUGCAAGGCUAGAAUCUCGGAGAGGAUAGCGGAAUUUCCAGUGUAGCAGUGAAAUGCGUAGAGAUUGGAAGGAACACCAGUGGCGUAAGCGGCUAUCUGGACGAGUAUUGACGCUGAGGCACGAAAGCGUGGGGAUCAAACAGGAUUAGAUACCCCUGUAGUCC
rnacentral:rRNA from 1 species